rnacentral:lncRNA from 1 species
CAUGUUUCCUCAGCUUAGAGUUGUGCUUCCCGCUUUAAGGCACACUUAACCAGCAUGGCUACCCCAGCAUGACGACACGACAGUGGUAGGCCUGAUCACCAACAACGAUGAGACGGACUGCACAACGCAUCACCGGGGGUACACUACCUGCCCUCCAGGACACCUACAUCACCCGAUGUCACAGGAAGGCAAAAAAAGAUCAUCAAGGACAAUAACCACCUGAGCCACUGCCUGUUCACCCCGCUAUCAUCCAGAAGAGGAAGCCGGCUUGCUGGGUGGGACGAUAUCCAAUCACCAAUCAUAUCCAAUCACAUGGGUGGGACGAUAUCCAAUCACCAAUCAUAUCCAAUCACAUGGAUGGGACGAUAUUCCUCCUGUCUAUUUAAAAAUGUUGGAAUCAAUUAUGUCCACUAUUGCUCGAAAUGAUUAAUACAGCCGUUCAGAAAUGUUUGGAUAGAUGUGAAUACAGCACUAAUUUCACUUUUAUUAAAAAAGGGCAAGAUACUACCCAGUGUUCUCACUAUUGCCUCC